GUGCUCCGGGCCCAAGGCAGCGCACGCUCCCCAACGGGCCUGUAACCAGAACAGCCAUGAGGGCUGGACGCACAGUCCUGCGUGUGCUCGCGGUGUGGGGAGCUGAGUAUACCUGGCAAGUGGAGCAUCUGCCAUAGCCAGGGAGCAAGAUACAAACAGAAAACGUCCAGUCACCCGGGCCACAGUGGCCCGCGACAACUCACCACCGUCGUCAAAGCUUGAACACCUGGAAGUAAACUCACCAGGAGCUCCGAGACUUAGAUGAGGAAAAUCAAAACCUUCACCAGAUGACGAAAGAGGAAACGGAAUCAGCCCUGAGAGCUGUGUGGUGUUUCAGAUCCACAUCGAUUCUCCCCCAAAUUCACUUAUAAAUCCAGUGCUAUCCCAACAUAAAGGUCACAGCUAAAAAAUUUAACACAAUUUGACAAGCUAAUUGUCGAGUUCAUGGGAUGUUCAAAGCAGACUCUUCAUAGCUGCUCAGGUGUCCACAAACGAUCGACAGAUAAGCCCAGCGUGGCCCUCCACACCAGGGAACAGGAUUCCACCAGGAAAAGAAUGAGGCCCGCACGGCUGCAGGGGGUGGAGAGCGUUUGGAACCAGACGGGAGUGAGGGUCACUCAACAUCGCAAAUGGACUAAAUGCUACCGAAUUGUACGCUUUAAAACGGUUCAUUUUAUGUGAUGUGAAUUUCAG
rnacentral:lncRNA from 1 species